rnacentral:rRNA from 1 species
UACAGAGGGUGCAAGCGUUGUUCGGAAUUAUUGGGCGUAAAGGGCGCGUAGGCGGUGCUGUAAGUCUGUAGUGAAAUCUCUGGGCUCAACUCAGAGUCUGCUAUAGAAACUGCAGUGCUGGAGUGUGGGAGAGGUGAGUGGAAUUCCCGGUGUAGCGGUGAAAUGCGCAGAUAUCGGGAAGAACACCCGUAGCGAAGGCGGCACUCUGGGCCGAUACUGACACUGAGGAGCGAAAGCCAGGGGAGCAAACGGG